ensembl:lncRNA
UAGGUAAGGGAGGUUAGGUAAGCGAGGUUAGGUAAGUGAGGUUAGGUAAGUGAGGUUAGGUAAGUGAGGUUAGGUAAGUGAGGUUAGGUAAGUGAGGUUAGGUAAGUGAGGUUAGGUAAGUGAGGUUAGGUAAGUGAAAUUAGGUAAAUGAGGUUAGGUAAGUGAGGUUAGGUAAGUGAGGUUAGGUAAGUGAGGUUAGGUAAAGAGGUUAGGUAAGUGAGCAUUGAGGGUGUGGGAAUGUCCAUAGGGGGAGUAGCAGGGGGAGGGG